rnacentral:rRNA from 1 species
AGCGAACGCUGGCGGCAGGCUUAACACAUGCAAGUCGAGCGGGCCUUUCGGGGUCAGCGGCGGACGGGUGAGUAACGCGUGGGAACGUGCCCUCUGGUUCGGAAUAACUCAGGGAAACUUGAGCUAAUACCGGAUACGCCCUUUUGGGGAAAGGCUUGCUGCCGGAGGAUCGGCCCGCGUCUGAUUAGCUAGUUGGUGAGGUAACGGCUCACCAAGGCGACGAUCAGUAGCUGGUCUGAGAGGAUGAUCAGCCACACUGGGACUGAGACACGGCCCAGACUCCUACGGGAGGCAGCAGUGGGGAAUAUUGGACAAUGGGCGCAAGCCUGAUCCAGCCAUGCCGCGUGAGUGAUGAAGGCCUUAGGGUUGUAAAGCUCUUUUAUCCGGGACGAUACUGACGGUACCGGAGGAAUAAGCCCCGGCUAACUUCGUG